rnacentral:rRNA from 1 species
UACAGAGGGUGCGAGCGUUAAUCGGAAUGACUGGGCGUAAAGGGCGCGCAGGCGGUUUUUCAAGCGGGAUGUGAAAUUCCUGGGCUUAACCUGGGGACUGCAUCCUGAACUGGGGGACUGGAGUACUGUAGAGGGCAGUGGAAUUUCCGGUGUAGCGGUGAAAUGCGUAGAGAUCGGAAGGAACACCAGUGGCGAAGGCGACUGUCUGGACAGAUACUGACGCUGAGGCGCGAAAGCGUGGGGAGCAAACAGG